AGUCAAGUUUUUAGUUUAUUUUACGGGUUAUGAGCCUUCAGCUCGCCCUUUGAUCCGGUGGCGCAGUCAAGGCCAUCAGCGGCCAACUGCAAAAUAUCCCAUAAAAAAAAAGAGCUCACUCUUCGGCCGAAACUCGAGCACUAACCAGCCCCUGAUGAUGCCUCGUGGAGAGGCGAAACACGAGUCAGGUACAACUAAAAUCAUUAUGUGACAACCCUACGUUCCGAGGGAAGUGUAGGCAUUUACAUGCCGAGCAGGCGGGAGUUGCUCUACUUGUCUUAUCAUACUAUGGUAUUGAUAAACGUGUUCCUAUUUUAAAAGAUCUUUGGAAAGAAAGAAAACUGGAAGACCGGUUCCAUGGUCACGGUUGACUGUGAUGGUAAAGUC